AUUGAACGCUGGCGGAAUGCUUUACACAUGCAAGUCGAACGGCAGCACGGACCUCGGUCUGGUGGCGAGUGGCGAACGGGUGAGUAAUGUAUCGGAACGUGCCAGUCGUGGGGGAUAACGUAGUGAAAAUUACGCUAAUACCGCAUACGAUCUAUGGAUGAAAGCGGGGGAUCGCAAGACCUUGCGCGAUUGGAGCGGCCGAUAUCAGAUUAGGUAGUUGGUGGGGUAAAGGCCCACCAAGCCAACGAUCUGUAGCUGGUCUGAGAGGACGACCAGCCACACUGGAACUGAGACACGGUCCAGACUCCUACGGGAGGCAGCAGUGGGGAAUUUUGGACAAUGGGCGAAAGCCUGAUCCAGCCAUUCCGCGUGCAGGAUGAAGGCCCUCGGGUUGUAAACUGCUUUUGUACAGAACGAAAAGGUUUCUACUAAUACUAGGAGCUCAUGACGGUACUGUAAGAAUAAGCACCGGCUAACUACGUGCCAGCAGCCGCGGUAA
rnacentral:rRNA from 1 species